AUUGAACGCUGGCGGCAGGCCUAACACAUGCAAGUCGAGCGGACGAAGGGAGCUUGUUCCUGGUUUCAGCGGCGGACGGGUGAGUAAUGCCUAGGAAUCUGCCUGGCAGUGGGGGAUAACGUCCGGAAACGGGCGCUAAUACCGCAUACGAUCUGAGGGAGAAAGGGGGGGAUCUUUGGACCUAGCGCUCUCAGAUGAGCCUAGGUCGGAUUAGCUAGUUGGUGGGGUAAAGGCGUACCAAGGCGACGAUCCGUAGCUGGUCUGAGAGGAUGAUCAGUCACACUGGAACUGAGACACGGUCCAGACUCCUACGGGAGGCAGCAGUGGGGAAUAUUGGACAAUGGGCGAAAGCCUGAUCCAGCCAUGCCGCGUGUGUGAAGAAGGUCUUCGGAUUGUAAAGCACUUUAAUUUGGGAGGAAGGGCAGUAAGUUAAUACCUUGCUGUUUUGACGUUACCAACAGAAUAAGCCCCGGCUAACUUCGUG
rnacentral:rRNA from 1 species